CUGGCUUCUGGCCAGAGGCUACAGUUCCCAGCCCAUCAGAAUGGCCACCCUGCAUGCUGCAGCUCUUUAUAAGAAACAAAGCUCUGCUUUCCAAAUUUAUGAACCUUGUCAUUCUUCAGUGGACACCGGCAACAUCCCCUCCAUUCCCACCCUGACUCUUGCCUAGGUUGAGAACCGGGGCCUUAACUCCAAGAAAUGACUUUAGGCCAGGUGCAUUAGCUC
rnacentral:lncRNA from 10 species